AUUGAACGCUGGCGGCACGCCUAACACAUGCAAGUCGAACGGGGCAGCAAUGCCUAGUGGCGGACGGGUGAGGAAUACGUAGGAAUCUGCCCUUAAGUGGGGGAUAACCAGGGGAAACCCUGACUAAUACCGCAUGAUCUCUUCGGAGCAAAGAGGGGGACCGCAAGGCCUCUCGCUUCUGGAUAAGCCUACGUCUGAUUAGCUAGUUGGUAGGGUAAAGGCCUACCAAGGCGACGAUCAGUAACUGGUCUGAGAGGAUGAUCAGUCACACCGGAACGGCGACACGGUCCGGACUCCUACGGGAGGCAGCAGUAGAGAAUAUUGGACAAUGGGCGCACGCCUGAUCCAGCAAUGCCGCGUGUGUGAAAAAGGCCUUCGGAUUGUAAAGCACUUUAGCCUGGAAAGAAAAAACUUUAGUUAACACCCAAAGUCUUGACGGUACCAGGAGAAUAAGCACCGGCUAACUCUGUGCCAGCCGCCGCCGUAAGAC
rnacentral:rRNA from 1 species